GUCUUUGUAGCUUAAAACCAAAGCCCUGGUCUUGUAAACCAAAGAUGGGAAUCAAUCUUCCCCCAAGGCA
rnacentral:tRNA from 1 species